GUUCAGUCUCUGUUCUUAUAAACAUCAUGUGCAUGUGUGUGUGCUGUUGCAGGAAACAAGAUAACUGUAAUAUCAUCAGUGACUGGAAUGAGAAGAAAGUCCUGCUGCAAGACACUGCUGAUUGGACCUGUGUGACCUACAUGAGCAGCUCCUGAUGGCCCAGAAGAUAUUUAACCUCACAAAGAAUCAUUUUUAUGUAGAAUUUUCAGAAUUAAUUGUGGUCAGUU